UACGAAGGGGGCUAGCGUUGUUCGGAUUUACUGGGCGUAAGGCGCGUGUAGGCGGGCCGUUAAGUCGGGGGUGAAAUCCCAGAGCUCAACUCUGGAACUGCCUCCGAGACUGGCGGCCUGGACCCAAGGAGAGGCGAGUGGAAUUCCGAGUGUAGAGGUGAAAUUCGUAGAUAUUCGGAGGAACACCAGUGGCGAAGGCGACUCGCUGGACUUGUGGUGACGCUGAGACGCGAAAGCGUGGGGAGCAAAC
rnacentral:rRNA from 1 species